AACGAGCGACAGUGAUGCAUGCGCCUGUGUGACACACGCGACAACGCUGAGCUAGGCUAGACCAGAGCAAUGGAAAGUAGCCAGCUAGCUUGGUAGAUAACUGCAUUGAAUCUGAAAACAAGCGAAACUGUCCAAGUUUAAGGCACCACCUGGAUGUACAACUACGUUUUGCUGCAAGUUGACCCUAACCGGAAAGCCUAUUAGUGUUUCAAAACAAAUGUAGCCGCUAACAUCGGUAUCGGAUAAAGAUUUUGGCUAGCCCUUGCUAGCGCAGGCAGUCGUCAGUUUUGCUUAGUUAAACACCGAGAGCAAGUAAGAGAGAUACACUUGUGUGGAUUACGUAAACAUAUCAAACCAAGGUUUGUGUGAUUUUGCUAAAAUGCAUCACCAACAGCGAAUGGCUGCCUUAGGGACAGACAAAGAACUAAGCGACUUAUUGGAUUUCAGUGCGAUGCGAAACAGCGAUUUGAAAAUGUUCCCAACAUCAAUGAUGUUCUCUCCUCCUGUUAGUGGUAAAAACGGACCAACCUCUCUAGGAAGUGGACAUUUUGCAGGCUCAAGUAUGUCAAUCUCAGCUCAUUUAAAUAAUACAAUUAUAGCUGUGGAUAUUGCAUAUGUUGUUUGGACAUGUUACUAUCAUUUUUUUUAGCUUCAAUGUGUAUUUUUCCCCCUCUUACUUACAAGGACUAUUUAUAUUAUUGCAGAUUAUAUUUAGCUUUGUUUAUCAGAUAUUAAGAAUAUAAGGGUCUCAUUGUACAUUUGUAUUUUUUUAAAUUUACAUUUAAUCAGGCAAGUCAGUUAAGAACAAAUUCUUAUUUACAAUGACUGCCUACCGUCAUUCUGCCUUGGGGCAGAACAACAGAUUGUCAGCUCGGGGAUUCGAUCCAGCAACCUUUCAGUUACUGGCCCAAUGCUCUAACCACUAGGCUUCCUUACCACUCCAAAACAUACAUCAUACAUUAUUAUUGAUAACCCUUUAAGUUGUGAAUAUCUCUGUUGCUAUUGACUCUGUGUGAUCGUAGUAGGUUUACAUGUGAUUUUUCUGGGAUCAAUGGACUUCCCACUCAGUACAUAGCUGAGGAGGCCUGACGUGUCUUUAAACAGCAGGCCUCAGUGAAGACUCAGGCAUCUUUCCUCUCUGGGUAGUAUCAGCAGGCCUCAGUGAAGACUCAGGCAUCUUUCCUCUCUGGGUAGUAGCAUCAGGCCUUAGUGAUGACUAAGGCAUCUUUCCUCUCUGGGUAGUAGCAGCAGGCCUCAGUGAAGACAGGCAUCUUUCCUCUCUGGGUAGUAGCAGCAGCCCCCGGUGAAGACUCAGGCAUCUUUCCUCUCUGGGUAGUAGCAGCAGGCCUCAGUGAAGACUCAGGCAUCUUUCCUCUUUGGGUAGUAACAGCAGGCCUCAGUGAAGACUCAGGCAUCUUUCCUCUCUGGGUAGUAGCAGCAGGCCUCAGUGAAGACUCAGGCAUCUUUCCCCUUUGGGUAGUAGCAGCAGGCCCCGGUGAAGACUCAGGCAUCUUUCCUCUCUGGGUAGUAUCAGCAGGCCUCAGUGAAGACUCAGGCAUCUUUCCUCUCUGGGUAGUAACAGCAGGCCUCAGUGAAGACAGGCAUCUUUCCUCUAUGGGUAGUAGCAGCAGGCCUCAGUGAAGACUCAGGCAUCUUUCCUCUUUGGGUAGUAACAGCAGGCCUCAGUGAAGACUCAGGCAUCUUUCCUCUCUGGGUAGUAGCAGCAGGCCUCAGUGAAGACUCAGGCAUCUUUCCUCUCUGGGUAGUAGCAGCAGGCCUCAGUGAAGACAGGCAUCUUUCCUCUCUGGGUAGUAGCAGCAGGCCUCAGUGAAGACUCAGGCAUCUUUCCUCUCUGGGUAGUAGCAGCAGGCCUCAGUGAAGACUCAGGCAUCUUUCCUCUCUGGGUAGUAGCAGCAGGCCUCAGUGAAGACUCAGGCAUCUUUCCUCUCUGGGUAGUAGCAGCAGGUGUUGCGUGUCAGUGAGAGACUCUGAAUGCUGUGGGGUUUGAAUGUCAGCGACGAUGCGUUUUUAGUUGUUGUUUUGUAGGGUCUACGGGAUUUGUUGCCUUAGUCUUUUGUCUGUAACACAGGAGCAGAAAUAGUGUUUUAUGUAUGGACUAGCCUUUGGAUUGUAAUUUCCCUUCAUGUGGAUGUGUAGAACCGGUUUGGGUAGUAACAGCAGGUGUAUGUAGCCUGUUAUACUACACCCAGUCCAAUCUAGUACAGGUUUAAAUUGAAUGAACUAUAAAGACGGAAUUCAAUAUGACGUUUUUAUUCAAUGGUUGGAGGGGUAUGGCCUCGUCUCUGAGGGGAGAUCCUCGGAGUCAGAUGAUGUGGUUGCAGCUAGCCCCGUGCGGGGCUCCUGGCAUUGGAACCCCCACCGCU